rnacentral:tRNA from 1 species
GCAGUGGUAGUUCAGUGGUAGAAUUCUUGCCUUCCAUUUGGGAGACCUGGGUUUGAUCCCUGGCCAAUGUA